rnacentral:rRNA from 1 species
CCUACGGGUGGCAGCAGUAGGGAAUCUUGCUCAAUGGGGGAAACUCUGAAGCAGCAACGCCGCGUGGAGGAUGAAGGUUUUCGGAUUGUAAACUCCUUUUGUUAGAGAAGAUAAUGACGGUAUCUAACGAAUAAGCACCGUCUAACUCCGUGCCAGCAGCCGCGGUAAUACGGAGGGUGCAAGCGUUACUCGGAAUCACUGGGCGUAAAGAGCGCGUAGGCGGGAUAGCAAGUCAGAUGUGAAAUCCUAGGGCUUAACCAUAGAACUGCAUUUGAAACUGUUAUUCUAGAGUAUGGGAGAGGUAGGUGGAAUUCUUGGUGUAGGGGUAAAAUCCGUAGAGAUCAAGAGGAAUACUCAUUGCGAAGGCGACCUGCUAGAACGUAACUGACGCUGAUGCGCGAAAGCGUGGGGAGCAAACAGGAUUAGAUACCCUUGUAGUC